GCCGGGCGUGGUGGCUCACACCUGUAAUCCCAGCACUUUGGGAGGCCGAGGUGGGUGGAUCACCUGAGGUCAGGAGUUCAAGACCAGCCUGACCAACAUGGUGAAACCCCGUCUCUA
rnacentral:SRP_RNA from 1 species